rnacentral:rRNA from 1 species
CCUACGGGAGGCAGCAGUGAGGAAUAUUGGUCAAUGGUGGGGAGACUGAACCAGCCAAGCCGCGUGAGGGAGGAAGGUACAGAGGAUGGUAAACCUCUUUUGUCAGGGAACAAAAACUGGGACGCGUCCCCGGCUGAGGGUACCUGAAGAAAAAGCAUCGGCUAACUCCGUGCCAGCAGCCGCGGUAAUACGGAGGAUGCGAGCGUUAUCCGGAUUUAUUGGGUUUAAAGGGUGCGCAGGCGGUCCGUUAAGUCAGCGGUAAAAUGGCGGGGCUCAACCCCGGCGGGCCGUUGAAACUGGCAGACUUGAGUUGGCGAGAAGUACGCGGAAUGCGCGGUGUAGCGGUGAAAUGCAUAGAUAUCGCGCAGAACUCCGAUUGCGAAGGCAGCGUACCGGCGCCAGACUGACGCUGAGGCACGAAAGCGUGGGGAUCGAACAGGAUUAGAUACCCUUGUAGUC